rnacentral:rRNA from 1 species
UGAUCCUGGCUCAGGAUGAACGCUGGCGGCGUGCCUAAUACAUGCAAGUCGAGCGAACAGAUAAGGAGCUUGCUCCUUUGACGUUAGCGGCGGACGGGUGAGUAACACGUGGGUAACCUACCUAUAAGACUGGAAUAACUCCGGGAAACCGGGGCUAAUGCCGGAUAACAUAUAGAACCGCAUGGUUCUAUAGUGAAAGAUGGUUUUGCUAUCACUUAUAGAUGGACCCGCGCCGUAUUAGCUAGUUGGUAAGGUAACGGCUUACCAAGGCGACGAUACGUAGCCGACCUGAGAGGGUGAUCGGCCACACUGGAACUGAGACACGGUCCAGACUCCUACGGGAGGCAGCAGUAGGGAAUCUUCCGCAAUGGGCGAAAGCCUGACGGAGCAACGCCGCGUGAGUGAUGAAGGGUUUCGGCUCGUAAAACUCUGUUAUUAGGGAAGAACAUAUGUGUAAGUAACUGUGCACAUCUUGA